UGAACGCUAGCGGCAGGCUUAACACAUGCAAGUCGAACGGUAACAGGAUUGAUUUAUCAAUUGCUGACGAGUGGCGCACGGGUGCGUAACACGUAUGCAACCUACCCUUUACAGGAGGAUAGCCCAGAGAAAUCUGGAUUAAUACUCCAUAGUACCAUAAAGCCGCAUGGUUUAAUGGUUAAAGAUUUAUCGGUAAAGGAUGGGCAUGCGACCUAUUAGCUUGUUGGUAAGGUAACGGCUUACCAAGGCUUCGAUAGGUAGGGGGUCUGAGAGGAUGAUCCCCCACACUGGUACUGAGACACGGACCAGACUCCUACGGGAGGCAGCAGUGAGGAAUAUUGGGCAAUGGAGGCAACUCUGACCCAGCCAUGCCGCGUGCAGGAAGACGGCCCUACGGGUUGUAAACUGCUUUUAUUUGGGAAGAAACCUCCGGACGUGUCCGGAGCUGACGGUACCAAACGAAUAAGCACCGGCUAACUCC
rnacentral:rRNA from 1 species